rnacentral:rRNA from 1 species
GACGAACGCUGGCGGCGUGCUUAACACAUGCAAGUCGAACGAUGAUGCCCAGCUUGCUGGGUGGAUUAGUGGCGAACGGGUGAGUAACACGUGAGUAACCUGCCCCUGACUCUGGGAUAAGCGUUGGAAACGACGUCUAAUACUGGAUAUGACUGCCGGCCGCAUGGUCUGGUGGUGGAAAGAUUUUUUGGUUGUGGAAGGACUCGCGGCCUAUCAGCUUGUUGGUGAGGUAAUGGCUCACCAAGGCGACGACGGGUAGCCGGCCUGGGAGGGUGACCGGCAACACUGGGACUGAGACACGGCCCAGACUCCUACGGGAGGCAGCAGUGGGGAAUAUUGCACAAUGGGCGAAAGCCUGAUGCAGCAACGCCGCGUGAGGGAUGACGGCCUUCGGGUUGUAAACCUCUUUUAGUAGGGAAGAAGCGAAAGUGACGGUACCUGCAGAAAAAGCACCGGCUAACUACGUGCCAGCCGCCGCUGUAA